CAAGGGGGCAAGGAAAGGGACAGGGCCUUCCUGCCCCAAGCAGGAAGUGGCACCCCACACACUCUGCAGCAGUGGCCGAGGAGGGAGGCGGCAGCAGAUCCCGGAUGGAAAACCCCUAACACGGAAACUUCCUGUUAUCACUUCUGCAAACCCCAAGGGGCUGUAGAGAGAGAGAGACAGCGAGAGAGGGAACACAAGCAGGGG